CGGUAGUUCAGUCGGUUAGAACGCCAGCCUGUCACGCUGGAGGUCAUGGGUUCGAGCCCCAUUCG
rnacentral:tRNA from 3 species